rnacentral:rRNA from 1 species
CCUACGGGAGGCAGCAGUGAGGAAUAUUGGUCAAUGGACGAGAGUCUGAACCAGCCAAGUAGCGUGAAGGAUGACUGCCCUAUGGGUUGUAAACUUCUUUUAUAUGGGAAUAGAAUGUUCCACGUGUGGGAUUUUGUAUGUACCAUAUGAAUAAGGAUCGGCUAACUCCGUGCCAGCAGCCGCGGUAAUACGGAGGAUCCGAGCGUUAUCCGGAUUUAUUGGGUUUAAAGGGAGCGUAGGUGGAUUGUUAAGUCAGUUGUGAAAGUUUGCGGCUCAACCGUAAAAUUGCAGUUGAAACUGGCAGUCGUGAGUACAGUAGAGGUGGGCGGAAUUCGUGGUGUAGCGGUGAAAUGCUUAGAUAUCACGAAGAACUCCGAUGGCGAAGGCAGCUCACUGGACUGCAACUGACACGGAGGCUCGAAAGUGUGGGUAUCAAACAGGAUUAGAUACCCCAGUAGUC